GACGGAGGAUGCAAGUGUUAUCCGGAAUCACUGGGCGUAAAGCGUCUGUAGGUGGUUCGAAAAGUCCACUGUUAAAAAUUGAGGCUUAACUUCAAAGAUGCCGUGGAAACUUUCAAACUAGAGUAUGGUAGGGGUAGAGGGAAUUUCCAGUGGAGCGGUGAAAUGCGUAGAUAUUGGAAAGACCACCGAUGGCGAAGGCACUCUACUGGGCCAUUACUGACACUGAGAGACGAAAGCUAGGAGAGCAAAUGGG
rnacentral:rRNA from 1 species